UACGUAGGGGGCAAGCGUUAUCCGGAAUUACUGGGCGUAAAGGAUGCGUAGGCGGUUAAACAAGUUAUAUGUUAAAUAUAUAGGCUUAACCUGUAGAAAGCAUAUAAAACUGUUUAACUAGAGUGCAGGAGAGGUAAGUGGAAUUCCUAGUGUAGCGGUGAAAUGCGUAGAGAUUAGGAAGAACACCAGUGGCGAAGGCGACUUACUGGACUGUAACUGACGCUGAGGCAUAAGAGCAUGGGGAGCAAACAGG
rnacentral:rRNA from 1 species